GUCUACCGCCAUACCACCGCUGAACAUGCUCGAUCUUGUCUGCUCCCAGAAGCUAAGCAAAGUCGGUCCUGCAUGGUACCUGGAUGGGAGAAUACCACCUCACCUUGGGGGAAAUACCAGGUGCUGUAGGCU
rnacentral:rRNA from 1 species